rnacentral:sRNA from 1 species
AAAUGAAUGUCGGCCUUGAGGAUACGCGCACCCGCGUCCGGCGGUUGCUU